GGGUCGUUAGCUCAGUUGGUAGAGCAGUUGGCUUUUAACCAAUUGGUCGAAGGUUCGAAUCCUUCACGACCCA
rfam:Marinobacter similis strain A3d10, complete genome.